CUCGCAUAUUUUCUCCCUGUUGACCACGGCUCCCACAACGUGUCGCGAUGGAUGACUUGGCUUCCUAUUUCGUUGAAGAACGCAGCAAAGUGCGAUAAGUGGUAUCAAUUGCAGAAUCAUUUCAUUGCCCAAUCUUUGAACGCAAACGGCGCAUGGGAGAAGCUCUCUCGAGCCAUCCCCGUGCAUGCCACAUUUCUCAGUGUCGAAUAUAAAAACAAAACACACACCUAUUUUUUGUGUUGUUCAACGCACGCACAAAAUUCCGCCACCUCUUCUCCUCGUGUGGUGCAUAUUCAUGUUUGUGAGUGUGCACAUAUACGAUAUCUUUCAACUCUUUCUACUCGCACGAUUGUAUAUGUCACGCAUAUACGUGUGUGUAGUGAGUGA